UAAAUACCUUUCGUCCGAAAAUACUUGUCAUCAAAAUGGAUAAAAAGAGAUGUAUGUAGAACUAAAAUAUGUCUAGAUACAUCCCCUUUUAUCCAUUUUGAUGACAAGUAUUUUCGGACGGAGUAUUUG
rnacentral:pre_miRNA from 1 species